GUUUCAAUACAAACAAGAGGAACAGGCAUUUUCUCCCCCCAUCCACAAGCGCCUGCAGCACGGGUGCCCUAAAAAAGGAAACCUGUUUUCCUCCUCCUAGGUUACUGGUUUCUCCACCCAGUCUUCCCACAGCGCUCCACUCCCCGCACCCAGUCCUUCCGGCCCCCACCCAGACUGGGAGAAGCGGCCUGGCAUUCCAGGUUCCACAUCCAUAUCAUUUUGAAGCAAAGCCCAACAAGUUCCAUCUCUUUAUCUGCAGGUGUUUCAGAAUGUAACUAAAAGGGUCCUCAUCGCAAUCAGACACACUGGAUUAUGUUUAUUAAAUGUCGUCUCCCUGACACAGACCAUAAGCUCCGUCAAAACAGGGGGAAGCUCUAGUUUAAGGAUGCUGCAAAAAUGAAAGCUGAAGUCUCAACCAAAGAGAAAGUAAGACAACUUUUGUUUUUUAUGACCAAGUGAAUU